GCGCCCGUACCGCAAACCGACACAGGUAGGUGAGGAGAGAAUCCUAAGACCAGCGGAAGAAUUGUUGUCAAGGAACUCGGCAAAUUGACCCCGUAACUUCGGGAGAAGGGGUGCCUACGCAAGUAGGUCGCAGAGAAUAGGCCCAAGCAACUGUUUAGCAAAAACACAGGUCUCUGCUAAAGCGAAAGCUGAAGUAUAGGGGCUGACGCCUGCCCGGUGCUGGAAGGUUAAGGGGAAUACUUAGCGCAAGCGAAGGUAUGAACUUAAGCCCCAGUAAACGGCGGCCGUAACUAUAACGGUCCUAAGGUAGCGAAAUUCCUUGUCGGGUAAGUUCCGACCCGCACGAAUGGCGUAAUGAUUUGGGCACUGUCUCGACAACAAAUCCGGCGAAAUUGUAUUGCGAGUGAAGAUGCUCGCUACCCGCGAUUGGACGGAAAGACCCCGUAGAGCUUUACUGUAGCUUAGCAUUGAAUUUCGGUAUUGUCUGUACAGGAUAGGUGGGAGACUGAGAAACAAGGGCGUCAGCCUUUGUGGAGUCAACCUUGGGAUACCACCCUGACAGUACUGGGAUUCUAACCGGCGGCCAUGAAACUGGUCACGGGACAUUGUUAGGUGGGCAGUUUGACUGGGGCGGUCGCCUCCAAAAAAGUAACGGAGGCGCCCAAAGGUUCCCUCAGAACGGUUGGAAAUCGUUCGAAGAGUGCAAAGGCAGAAGGGAGCCUGACUGCGACACAAACAAGUGGAGCAGGGACGAAAGUCGGGCUUAGUGAUCCGGUGGUUCCUCGUGGGAGGGCCAUCGCUCAACGGAUAAAAGCUACCUCGGGG
rnacentral:rRNA from 1 species